rnacentral:rRNA from 1 species
GACGAACGCUGGCGGCGUGCCUAAUACAUGCAAGUCGAACGAGAGCAACCGGUGCUUGCACUGGUCAAUCUAGUGGCGAACGGGUGAGUAACACGUGGGUAACCUGCCCAUCAGAGGGGGAUAACAUCCGGAAACGGAUGCUAAAACCGCAUAGGUCUUCGAACCGCAUGGUUUGAAGAGGAAAAGAGGCGCAAGCUUCUGCUGAUGGAUGGACCCGCGGUGCAUUAGCUAGUUGGUGAGGUAACGGCUCACCAAGGCCGGGAUGCAUAGCCGACCUGAGAGGGUGAUCGGCCACAUUGGGACUGAGACACGGCCCAAACUCCUACGGGAGGCAGCAGUAGGGAAUCUUCCGCAAUGGACGAAAGUCUGACGGAGCAACGCCGCGUGAGUGAAGAAGGUUUUCGGAUCGUAAAACUCUGUUGUUAGAGAAGAACAAGUGCUAGAGUAACUGUUAGCGCCUUGACGGUAUCUAACCAGAAAGCCACGGCUAACUACGUG